GCCUCAGUGGUCUAGUAGUAUGAUUCGCCCUUCGGGAUCUAUCCCGUAAGCAUUAUGUGAACCAACCUACAUAAUAUAGAGCUUACUUAAACAAUGGGUGAGGCCCUGGGUUCAAUUCCCAGCUGGGGCC